rnacentral:rRNA from 1 species
UUUAUGGAGAGUUUGAUCCUGGCUCAGGAUGAACGCUGGCGGUGUGCCUAAUACAUGCAAGUCGAGCGAACAGAUAAGGAGCUUGCUCCUUUGACGUUAGCGGCGGACGGGUGAGUAACACGUGGGUAACCUACCUAUAAGACUGGGAUAACUUCGGGAAACCGGAGCUA